rnacentral:rRNA from 1 species
GUCUUCGGAUGCUGACGAGUGGCGAACGGGUGAGUAAUACAUCGGAACGUGCCUAGUAGUGGGGGAUAACUACUCGAAAGAGUAGCUAAUACCGCAUGAGAUCUACGGAUGAAAGCAGGGGACCUUCGGGCCUUGUGCUACUAGAGCGGCUGAUGGCAGAUUAGGUAGUUGGUGGGGUAAAGGCUUACCAAGCCUGCGAUCUGUAGCUGGUCUGAGAGGACGACCAGCCACACUGGGACUGAGACACGGCCCAGACUCCUACGGGAGGCAGCAGUGGGGAAUUUUGGACAAUGGGCGAAAGCCUGAUCCAGCAAUGCCGCGUGCAGGAUGAAGGCCCUCGGGUUGUAAACUGCUUUUGUACGGAACGAAAAGCCUGGGGCUAAUACCCCCGGGUCAUGACGGUACCGUAAGAAUAAGCACCGGCUAACUACGUGCCAGCAGCCGCGGUAAUACGUAGGGUGCAAGCGUUAAUCGGAAUUACUGGGCGUAAAGCGUGCGCAGGCGGUUUUGUAAGACAGUGGUGAAAUCCCCGGGCUCAACCUGGGAACUGCCAUUGUGACUGCAAGGCUAGAGUGCGGCAGAGGGGGAUGGAAUUCCGCGUGUAGCAGUGAAAUGCGUAGAUAUGCGGAGGAACACCGAUGGCGAAGGCAAUCCCCUGGGCCUGCACUGACGCUCAUGCACGAAAGCGUGGGGAGCAAACAGG